rnacentral:piRNA from 1 species
UCUCAACCCCAAACCAGCUUCUUUAGAG